GGGUUUGUAGCUCAGCUGGUUAGAGCACACGCUUGAUAAGCGUGGGGUUCAAGUCCUGCCAGACCCACCA
rnacentral:tRNA from 1 species